rnacentral:rRNA from 1 species
AUUGAACGCUGGCGGCAUGCCUUACACAUGCAAGUCGAACGGUAACGGGCCUUCGGGUGCCGACGAGUGGCGCACGGGUGAGUAAUACAUCGGAACGUGCCCGAUCGUGGGGGAUAACGAGGCGAAAGCUUUGCUAAUACCGCAUACGAUCUACGGAUGAAAGCAGGGGACCGCAAGGCCUUGCGCGGACGGAGCGGCCGAUGGCAGAUUAGGUAGUUGGUGGGAUAAAAGCUUGCCAAGCCGACGAUCUGUAGCUGGUCUGAGAGGAUGAUCAGCCACACUGGGACUGAGACACGGCCCAGACUCCUACGGGAGGCAGCAGUGGGGAAUGUUGGACAAUGGGCGCAAGCCUGAUCCAGCCAUGCCGCGUGCAGGAUGAAGGCCUUCGGGUUGUAAACUGCUUUUGUACGGAACGAAAAGCCUUCUUUUAAUACAGGAGGGUCAUGACGGUACCGUAAGAAUAAGCACCGGCUAACUACGUG